rnacentral:rRNA from 1 species
ACAAGCGAGGAGCAUGUGGUUAAUUCGAUGAUACGCGAGGAACCUUACCUGGGCUCGAACGUAAGAUGACUGUAGGUGAAAGCUUACAUCUCUUCGGAGCAUUUUACGAGGUGCUGCAUGGUUGUCGUCAGCUCGUGCCGUGAGGUGUCGGGUUAAGUCCCAUAACGAGCGCAACCCCUACCUUUAGUUGCCAUCAGGUUAAGCUGGGGACUCUAAAGGAACUGCCUACGCAAGUAGUGAGGAAGGCGGGGAUGACGUCAAAUCAGCACGGCCCUUACGUCCAGGGCUACACACGUGCUACAAUGGCCGAUACAGAGGGCAGCUACCUGGUGACAGGAUGCAAAUCUCCAAAGUACGGUCUCAGUUCGGAUCGGAGUCUGCAACCCGACUCCGUGAAGUUGGAUUCGCUAGUAAUCGCGCAUCAGCCAUGGCGCGGUGAAUACGUUCCCGGGCCUU